AUAAGUGUUAUACGUAUUACAUAUGUAUCUCCGAUUGACCAAUCAGUUAUUAUUUUACAUAGUAAGAUGUUACAUCUGAUAAUCUCUAUAGGUAGACAAUGACGUUAUCAUAUUCAUAUAUAGACCGAUUGACAUUAGGUAAAGAUAAAGAAUAAAUAAAAAUCAUUAAAGCAAAUAUUAUGAAAACAAUAUUUCUUGAUAUAACAUUUUUAAUUUUAUAAUUUAUACUAAAAGCUCACAAAAUGUUUUAAUAUUGCACAAAAAAUAAUAAGUUAUGUAAAAAAUUAUAAAAAUGAAACAAACAUAAAAAAAAUUAAAUUUAAGUUUAACUUUUAAAGUAUCUGUUAUAUGAAACAAAUUAGGUAUAUACUUUGAACGCACUGUCCGCCUAAUGUGCACUUUGCAUUGAAAUCAAGGUUCGAAAUAUAACAAACAGAUUCAUUAUUGUAUGCUUAGAAUUUAAAUGUUUUAUUUAUGUUUCUAAACUGUCAAAAAGCUCUGAAAAGCUUAAAAGUCAGCCAAUUGUUUUACAUUAAAUUAAAUUAAAACCAAAAUAGUUUCGGGUAUUUAUAAUAAACAAUUCAUUAAUUGAAGUAAUAAAACAUACAAAGUAUGAUAUUAUUAUACUUACUAAUUACUGAACACAGAUGAAAUUUAAAAUUGCCUCGACUGCUAGGUACUAAGAUGCUAGUGAAAGGGGUAGCAUUUAAAUAAAAAAUACAACUGCCCGACGCCCGUGUCCACAGCGCUGCACGAUACUGAGAAACUGUCAAGUGGCUUAUAAGUCAAUACUUUAUUAAUUAAAUAAAAUACGUUGGACAUUCAAGACAGGCGUAAGAAUUUUAAUUUAAAAUAAUAUAAAUGUUGUGUUGAUAAAGCUUAAACAAAACGUUACAAUCAGUAAGAAACGGCAAAAUAUUGUUGGUAAGCUCCAAGGUUUAUAGAGGUUGCCUCAUACCGGAUUCACAGAUUAUAUGAAAUUUUCAUAUAAUCUGUGCCGGAUUUCUGUUAAAAAUGGAAGUGGGGGAAAUUGCACUAUGACGUCAGCCGUCGUACAAAAUCGUUUGUUUAUCAUAGCACGUUAUAGUACGUUGGUGGUUGAUUUACGUUUUACACUUUAUUUAUUACUCAACUAUUAGCUAAAUUAAUUUGUUUUAAUGGAAACUCCAAAGUCAAAAGGCGGUUCAUGUUGUGCAGUUGCCUCAUGCAAAAAUUAUUCAGGCAAAGCCAAAAAUACUGGUAGAACCGAUUUGUCCUUUCACAGGUUUCCAAAGGAUGAUUUGCUUCUUAAAGUGUGGUCGAAUAAAUGUAGAAGAAAUGAUGCAUGAAAUCCUAGUAAAUCAUUUAUAUGUUCUGAUCACUUCAAGCAAGAUGAUUAUGUUAGAGAUUUAAAAUCUGAACUGUUGGGGUAUGCUCCAAGAGUAAAAAUUUUAAAACCUGAUGCUACACCUACACUUAAUUUACCUGAUGGCCAUGACAAGUGUGUUUCAGAGUCUGGUAUUCAGCGUCAAAAACGAAUAGAGACUAAAUUAGUUAGACAGACGCAUAAUGAGAUUAUCACUUUGGCUCUAAAUGAUAAUGAACCAUCUUCUACUCAACAUUCAGAAUGUGACCUAGAGUCAACUCAAUCAUUGGGCUUGUCACAACCUCAAGAUUAUGAACAUCUUUACAAUAAACUACUUCUAGAACACGAAAAACUGUUAACCAUUAAAAAAUCUGAAGUUGACUACAAAAAAAUUGUGAUAGUUAAAUGAGUAUUAUUCCACCUCUUGAAAUCUGCCACUGUUUGUAACAAUAAUUAAAGAUUUCCGUUAUUAUAUUUUAGCUUAACUUGAAGCAAGUAUAUUAUAAUGAUAUAUUUAAUUUAUGAGUCUGUAUGAAAUAUACCACUAAUAAUGAUUUCAAUUUUCAA